CCGAGUCUUAAUUGGGCGUUAAGUUGCAGGGUAUAGACCCGAAACCCGGUGAUCUAGCCAUGGGCAGGUUGAAGGUUGGGUAACACUAACUGGAGGACCGAACCGACUAAUGUUGAAAAAUUAGCGGAUGACCUGUGGCUGGGGGUGAAAGGCCAAUCAAACCGGGAGAUAGCUGGUUCUCCCCGAAAGCUAUUUAGGUAGCGCCUCGUGAAUUCAUCUCCGGGGGUAGAGCACUGUUUCGGCUAGGGGGCCAUCCCGGCUUACCAACCCGAUGCAAACUGCGAAUACCGGAGAAUGUUAUCACGGGAGACACACGGCGGGUGCUAACGUCCGUCGUGAAGAGGGAAACAACCCAGACCGCCAGCUAAGGUCCCAAAGUCAUGGUUAAGUGGGAAACGAUGUGGGAAGGCCCAGACAGCCAGGAUGUUGGCUUAGAAGCAGCCAUCAUUUAAAGAAAGCGUAAUAGCUCACUGGUCGAGUCGGCCUGCGCGGAAGAUGUAACGGGGCUAAACCAUGCACCGAAGCUGCGGCAGCGACGCUGAUGCGUUGUUGGGUAGGGGAGCGUUCUGUAAGCCUGUGAAGGUGGCCUGUGAGGGUUGCUGGAGGUAUCAGAAGUGCGAAUGCUGACAUAAGUAACGAUAAAGCGGGUGAAAAGCCCGCUCGCCGGAAGACCAAGGGUUCCUGUCCAACGUUAAUCGGGGCAGGGUGAGUCGACCCCUAAGGCGAGGCCGAAAGGCGUAGUCGAUGGGAAACGGGUUAAUAUUCCCGUACUUGGUGUUACUGCGAAGGGGGGACGGAGAAGGCUAUGUUGGCCGGGCGACGGUUGUCCCGGUUUAAGCGUGUAGGUGUGUGUUCCAGGUAAAUCCGGUUCACUUUAACACUGAGGCGUGAUGACGAGGCACUACGGUGCUGAAGCAACAAAUGCCCUGCUUCCAGGAAAAGCCUCUAAGCAUCAGGUAACAUCAAAUCGUACCCCAAACCGACACAGGUGGUCAGGUAGAGAAUACCAAGGCGCUUGAGAGAACUCGGGUGAAGGAACUAGGCAAAAUGGUGCCGUAACUUCGGGAGAAGGCACGCUGACAC
rnacentral:rRNA from 1 species